rnacentral:piRNA from 1 species
UGAGUAGAAGCUACACUUCCUUGGUGUUC